GUAAGUCGGACUAGUUAUCGCACACGGCUCCAUCCGUGCUGAAUUAUAAAAAAAACUUUAGUAGCCUGUAUCUGCCAGACUAUGUCUACAUCUAUACCAAAUUUGAGAUUUAUGUAGCUGUUCAGAAGAUACCCAAUAAAAACAUCCAUCUAAACAUUUAUUAUAUUAGUAAGAUUAUCUUAUCGAAAAGAACUAGAUAAUAGGAACAAGGAAGCUCCUAUUUUGUUUUAAAAUUACUUGAGUGGUUUUACUAACGCGUUAUAAAAUUACUGCAAAAUAUUUUUAUCUACGUUUAACACGAAAAACGACUAAAUAAUUGACAUGACAUAAAACAAGAUGAAUUUUGGCGUUAGACAGCUGUCAUUGGCAUUUUCAAAAUUAUUGUCGAUAUGUGAUACAAAAAAGGAAAAUGCACCAGCCCCAACGACAACAUCACCAGUUGCAACAACCACGAAUGUUCCACCUCGACCUGUCGCGCCAGCUCCCAGACCUACCACUGUCUCUACUACAACUGUUGUAAAAUCAUCACCACCAGAAAGAAAUAUGGCGGAAGGUGACAGUUCUGGAGGCAUCAUAGUUUUCGCUCUGUGGUACAUCGCCAUUGCUGUCGGUUACGCCAUGGGCUGGUUUCCAUGUACUGAGCAAGCCGCGGAGUCGGCCGGUGCCGGGGGGCCACCUGCAAAGGACGCCCCACCAAAAGAAACCCCUAAGGGAUAAGACAUCGCACCUCAACAUUUGGUACUGAUAGAAGAUUCUCGCGAACGUAUUGGAAGGGGUUGGUUCCCGUGCAUGGCAGCAGACGCCGUAGGAGGCCCGGGGGUUGCGAGGGGAGGUGGCCCGUCAGCUGGCCCUUCAGGCCCGCGUCCGGCCACGGCUUCGCAGCCGCUGACUCUCACCGCCUCAAUGGUCAGGAGCGGUGAGCGGCUCAAGGAACUGCCGCCCUCGGAAAUUAUAUACGAAUCACCAGCGAAGAAAUGACUACACGACAUUUGUAAGACAGGAAGAAGCCAGACCGCGCACCGGAAGAUGCUAUUCAGACAAAUUGCCCAGCGCGACUCCGACCCGACGCGCGAGACCUGCGCCAUCUGACAAUAACCGGUUUAAUCUGAAAUCUGGAUAUACGAUUUGGUAUUUGGAAUAAAUAAAAAUAGAAUAACCA